rnacentral:rRNA from 1 species
CAGUAGCCGCGGUAAUACGUAGGUGGCAAGCGUUGUCCGGAAUUAUUGGGCGUAAAGGGCUCGCAGGCGGUUUCUUAAGUCUGAUGUGAAAGCCCCCGGCUCAACCGGGGAGGGUCAUUGGAAACUGGGAAACUUGAGUGCAGAAGAGGAGAGUGGAAUUCCACGUGUAGCGGUGAAAUGCGUAGAGAUGUGGAGGAGCACCAGUGGCGAAGGCGACUCUCUGGUCUGUAACUGACGCUGAGGAGCGAAAGCGUGGGGAGCGAACAGGAUUAGAUACCCGCGUAGUCCCUGUCUCUUAUAC